CCUUUUGAGGGAGACCUACCCCGUUACAGACCGAACGCAACUUUAUAGGUCGUAAUGAGGUCAUCCCAGGUCGUUCGAGAAUUGGUAAAAGCUUUCAAAGUAUUACUCUUCCGGUUAACAAAGGAAAGUUCAGCAACUAACGGAAGUUAGACUGCUGGGUGAUUCCAGCCAGAACCUUGAAAACUGCAUAGAAACGCGAUAAAUAGCAGGCAGACACAGACAUCCUAUGGGAUAAAAGUGUUUGCAGUGGUGAACACCAAAUGUUGAAGUGGUCAAGCU
rnacentral:misc_RNA from 1 species